CUACGGGAGGCAGCAGUGGGGAAUUUUGGACAAUGGGCGAAAGCCUGAUCCAGCCAUGCCGCGUGAGUGAAGAAGGCCUUCGGGUUGUAAAGCUCUUUCGGUCGGGAAGAAAUAGUUGUGGCUAAUAUCCACAAUGAAUGACGGUACCGACAUAAGAAGCACCGGCUAACUACGUGCCAGCAGCCGCGGUAAUACGUAGGGUGCAAGCGUUAAUCGGAAUUAUUGGGCGUAAAGGGUGCGCAGGCGGUUGUAUAAGUCAGAUGUGAAAUCCCUGGGCUUAACCUAGGAAUUGCGUUUGAAACUAUAUGACUAGAGUGUGACAGAGGGGAGUGGAAUUCCAUGUGUAGCAGUGAAAUGCGUAGAGAUGUGGAAGAACACCGAUGGCGAAGGCAGCUCCCUGGGUUAACACUGACGCUCAUGCACGAAAGCGUGGGGAGCAAACAGGAUUAGAUACCCUGGUAGG
rnacentral:rRNA from 1 species